CAGCACUCUGCUAACUCGUAAGAGGAUGUAUAGGGUGUGACGCCUGCCCGGUGCUUGAAUGUUAAAAGGAUUGCUUAGCUUCGGCGAAGGCUUGAAUUGAAGCACAAGUAAACGGCGGCCGUAACUAUAACGGUCCUAAGGUAGCGAAAUUCCUUGUCGGGUAAGUUCCGACCUGCACGAAUGGUGUAACGAUCUGGACACUGUCUCGGCCAUGAGCUCAGUGAAAUUGUAGUAGCGGUGAAGAUGCCGCUUACCCGCAAUGGGACGGAAAGACCCCGUGAACCUUCACUACAGCUUAGCAUUGAAUUUGGAUUAUUGAUGUGUAGGAUAGGUGGGAGACUUUGAAGCAUGAACGCUAGUUUGUGUGGAGUCGUCCUUGAAAUACCACCCUUUAAUCGUUUGAAUUCUAAUCCUUUAUGGAGACAUUGCUUGGUGGGUAGUUUGACUGGGGUGGUCGCCUCCAAAAAAGUAUCGGAGGCUUCUAAAGGUACCCUCAGCACGCUUGGUAACCGUGCGCAGAGUGUAAUGGCACAAGGGUGCUUGACUGUGAGACCGACAAGUCGAACAGGUACGAAAGUAGAGCAUAGUGAUCCGGUGGUUCCUUAUGGAAGGGCCAUCGCUCAAAGGAUAAAAGGUNNNNNNNNNNNNNNNNNNNNGUUUGGCACCUCGAUGUCGGCUCGUCACAUCCUGGGGCUGGAGAAGGUCCCAAGGGUUGGGCUGUUCGCCCAUUAAAGUGGCACGCGAGCUGGGUUCAGAACGUCGCGAGACAGUUCGGUCCCUAUCUAUUGCGGGCGUUAGAAGUUUGAGAGGACCUCCUUUUAGUACGAGAGGACCGAAGGGGACGAACCUCUGGUGUACCUGUUGUGGCGCCAGCUGCAUCGCAGGGUAGCUAUGUUCGGACGAGAUAAGCGCUGAAAGCAUCUAAGCACGAAACUCACCUCAAGAUGAGACUUCUUUUAAGGGUCGUUAAAGAUGAUGACGUUGAUAGGUCGUAGGUGUAAAGGUAGAAAUGCCACAGCCGAGCGAUACUAAUUGCCCGUAGAUUUUCUACA
rnacentral:rRNA from 1 species